UCCUUAACUCAUGCCGCUGUGCCUUUCACCCCCACUCCCACAAUUGUAUGAGUUGAGUACA
rnacentral:pre_miRNA from 1 species